UACGUAGGGUGCGAGCGUUGUCCGGAAUUAUUGGGCGUAAAGGGCUCGUAGGCGGUUUGUCGCGUCGGGAGUGAAAACCUACAGCUUAACUGUGGGCUUGCUUUCGAUACGGGCAGACUAGAGGUAUGCAGGGGAGAACGGAAUUCCUGGUGUAGCGGUGAAAUGCGCAGAUAUCAGGAGGAACACCGGUGGCGAAGGCGGUUCUCUGGGCCGAUACUGACGCUGAGGAGCGAAAGCGUGGGGAGCGAACAGG
rnacentral:rRNA from 1 species